GUCCUUCGGGACAACAGAUAAGAUUGGAACGAUACAAAGAAAAUUAGCACGACUCCUACAGGUCGCCAGAGGCCCUUCAUCAUUUA
rnacentral:snRNA from 1 species